UUGUACUCUUUUUUGUGUUGU
ensembl:piRNA 21ur-14170 ncRNA